AGCUAAAAAUUGAGAUCUAGGGGGUUUUUCCAGCUCUGUUUUCAUGUGAAUCCCUGGAUGCUCUUGUUGCAUUUGUGCUGGAUCACUUGUGGAAAAGCAGGACUAAUGAGCACAAUAAGGUGAUUACAGAGUUUGGGGAAUGUUGCUUUUUUUUGUUCUUGAGGGGGUUCUGUUUCCUCCUGCUACAGCAGUGCCUGACCUUUCCCCAGCCCCAUCCAUGUACCAGAUUUCCUUUAACUUUCUGUGACUUUAAUUUUGAUCCCCAAAGCCCGAUCAAAACCCAUAUAAAAAUCUAAACUGUGGCAGAUUCUAAUGUCUGUUGGUUUUAUAAAAACAAUCUUAGUGACAGAGAGUAUGAGGAUUCUUUCUAAUCCAAUACAAAAGCAAUUCAACCACUCAGUGCAGUUGAGAGAAAAACAUUUGAUUUCAAGCUCCAUGUGUUUAAUUCUAUAAAUUCUCACUUUGUUCUGUUUUCCCCCUGGUAUUUGGCUGUAAGUAUGAAAGGAUAUCUAUGUAAAUAUGUGCACCUGAGAGAAACCCCAAACCUGCAGACCUUUAGGAGGGGUUAGUGAGAGAAACUCUGCAGCUUCUCUGAUGAUAACAAGCAAGAAACUCAGAAGCUCUUUGUCUGUUGUCCUUGUCUCAGCAGAAUGUUCUUCCCUCUGUUACAUCUCAUUGUCAGCUGGAUCCCAGCUCCUUUGGGACAGGAAUUUUUGGGUUGUACGUAUGCUCAUUGAGAUUUUUUUGUGAAUUUCACUAUCAUUCAUCAAAAUCCCUUAUCUCCAUUGCUGAACCAUAAAUAACACCAUCAAUCAAUGAGAUUAUUACAGAUUAUUGUGACAAUCUCUAAUUUAACUGGGCUCAUUUGAGCUGGUUAGGCACUCACAGGGGGGAGAGGAAAGGAUAAAGGGAAAGAGGAAGAGGAAGGUGGGAAGAGAUGUGUUUUGUCAGGGAAAUGGUGUUUGUUAUUUUACCUGGUUCUGAUAAAGAUGCUUCACCAGCAUAACUACUGAAAUGCAGAUAUUGCUGAAUGAAUAAUAAAAU
rnacentral:lncRNA from 1 species